rnacentral:rRNA from 1 species
AUUGAACGCUGGCGGCAUGCUUUACACAUGCAAGUCGAACGGUAACAGGCCGCAAGGUGCUGACGAGUGGCGAACGGGUGAGUAAUGCAUCGGAACGUGCCCAGUCGUGGGGGAUAACGCAGCGAAAGCUGCGCUAAUACCGCAUACGAUCUAUGGAUGAAAGCGGGGGACCGUAAGGCCUCGCGCGAUUGGAGCGGCCGAUGUCAGAUUAGGUAGUUGGUGGGGUAAAGGCUCACCAAGCCAACGAUCUGUAGCUGGUCUGAGAGGACGACCAGCCACACUGGGACUGGGACACGGCCCAGACUCCUACGGGAGGCAGCAGUGGGGAAUUUUGGACAAUGGGCGCAAGCCUGAUCCAGCAAUGCCGCGUGCAGGAAGAAGGCCUUCGGGUUGUGAACUGCUUUUGUACGGAACGAAACGGUCCUGGUUAAUACCUGGGGCUAAUGACGGUACCGUAAGAAUAAGCACCGGCUAACUACGUGCCAGCCGCCGCCGUAAGAC